rnacentral:rRNA from 1 species
AGAACGAACGCUGGCGGCAUGCCUAACACAUGCAAGUCGAACGCUUUUGGGGCUUCGGUCCCAAAGGAGUGGCGCACGGGUGAGUAGCGCGUGGGAACCUGCCCUGUUGUGGGGGAUAACCGAGGGAAACUUCGGCUAAUACCGCAUACGCCCGGGGGAAACUCCGGGGAAAGAUUUAUCGCAGCAGGAGGGGCCCGCGUCGGAUUAGGUAGUUGGUGGGGUAACGGCCCACCAAGCCUGUGAUCCGUAGCUGGUCUGAGAGGAUGAUCAGCCACACUGGGACUGAGACACGGCCCAGACUCCUACGGGAGGCAGCAGUGGGGAAUAUUGGACAAUGGGCGCAAGCCUGAUCCAGCAAUGCCGCGUGAGUGAUGAAAGGCCUUCGGGUUGUAAAGCUCUUUCGCACGCGACGAUGAUGACGGUAGCGUGAGAAGAAGCCCGGCUAACUUCGUGCCAGCAGCCGC